rnacentral:ncRNA from 1 species
UAUAAUGCUAUGAUGAGAAGAGUAGUUUUGAUUGAUUAUUUAAAGAGAGCUCCGGUUGGUGGGAAGGAGUAAUAAUGAUCUUAAUGAAAAAAGGCUCUGAGCUUUGCACGGAUCUAAGAGUUCUUAGUGAUACUGCAACGGGAUCUCCCGUUAUAGAGAUAGGGUAUACGCAAGUUUAAUUGCCGUACCCGAAAAGGUUGAUAUGGCGACAUAUCAAUAAACUGAGGUGGUACCGCGAAUCUAUACUCUCGCCCUCAAG